rnacentral:rRNA from 1 species
GUGGGGAAUAUUGGACAAUGGGCGAAAGCCUGAUCCAGCCAUGCCGCGUGUGUGAAGAAGGUCUUCGGAUUGUAAAGCACUUUAAGUUGGGAGGAAGGGCAGUAAGUUAAUACCUUGCUGUUUUGACGUUACCGACAGAAUAAGCACCGGCUAACUUCGUGCCAGCAGCCGCGGUAAUACGAAGGGUGCAAGCGUUAAUCGGAAUUACUUGGCGUAAAGCGCGCGUAGGUGGUUUUGUAAGUUGGAGGUGAAAUCCCCGGGCUCAACCUGGGAACUGCCUCCAAAACUGCAUGACUAGAGUACGGUAGAGGGUAGUGGAAUUUCCUGUGUAGCGGUGAAAUGCGUAGAUAUAGGAAGGAACACCAGUGGCGAAGGCGACUACCUGGACUGAUACUGACACUGAGGUGCGAAAGCAUGGGGAGCAAACAGGAUUAGAUACCCUGGUAGUCC